AGAGUUUGAUCCUGGCUCAGGAUGAACGCUGGCGGCGUGCUUAACACAUGCAAGUCGAACGUGAGGGGGUAGCAAUAUCCUUGAAAGUGGCGCACGGGUGAGUAAUACGUAGGUAACCUGCCCUGAAGAGGGGGAUAACAGCUGGAAACGGCUGCUAAGACCGCAUGACACCGGGUGCUCGGGAGGGCGACUGGUGAAAGCUCUGGUGCUUCAGGAGGGGCCUGCGGCCGAUUAGCUAGUUGGCGGGGUAAUGGCCCACCAAGGCAGUGAUCGGUAGCUGGUCUGAGAGGACGAUCAGCCACACGGGAACUGAGACACGGUCCCGACUCCUACGGGGGGCAGCAGUGAGGAAUAUUGGGCAAUGGGCGGAAGCCUGACCCAGCAACGCCGCGUGGAGGAAGACGGCCUUCGGGUUGUAAACUCCUUUUUUGGGGGAAGAGCGAGGACGGUACCCCAAGAAUAAGUCACGGCUAACUACGUGCCAGCAGCCGCGGUAAUACGUAGGUGACGAGCGUUAUCCGGAAUUACUGGGCGUAAAGCGCACGCAGGCGGUGCGUUAAGUCUGACGUGAAAUCUCCCGGCUUAACUGGGAGGGGUCGUUGGAGACUGGCGUGCUUGAGGCGGUGAGAGGGGUGCAGAAUUCCCGGUGUAGUGGUGGAAUGCGUAGAUAUCGGGAGGAAUACCAGUGGCGAAAGCGGUACCCUGGCACUGGCCUGACGCUCAGGUGCGAAGGCGUGGGGAGCGAACGGGAUUAGAUACCCCGGUAGU
rnacentral:rRNA from 1 species